UCUCUGAAAUUCUCUUAAAACAAAAAGCCAAUGCCUUUAUUAUAUUCGUCUCCAAUUCUUUUUUACCCGCCACCACCAACCGCUCCAACGACCAUACGCCACUUCCCUCCUCAACGCCUCGCCACGUGUCCUUCAUCCUCUCUACGGCGCCGUUUCGCCUCCGAACCAAACCCCCUUCCACUCCACUCUGCCGAGGUUUUCAGAAACCCCAAUUGGCAAUGCAAUGCAAGCCGUCUUCCUCCGUAUCAAUGUCGGCCGAGGAGCAGUCCACUUCGACCUCCCAGAGGGGUGAUCAACUGCAGGGUGGUUUGUUGUAUUCAAGGGCGUUCUGGGUUAGUGAAUCCAUUAUUGCCUGGAAUGUGGAUGUUUGAAAUGGUUCCUGCUACUUAUUUGCUAGUAAAACUGCUGCUUUAUCUUGUUCGAGUGAUGGAAUUAUAGGUGAGGAUAUAUAAGUAAAGCUUGAAGAAGGUAAACACGGGCUUCCGGAAAAUGUAAGAUGUUAUGUUAUCUGUAGAAGCAGUUUCAUGGAGCCUCUUAUUGCUGUUUUUCUCAAUGUAACUUUUGAAGAAGUUUUGAAACUUCUUCGAACUGGCACAUGUAUAAAAUGAUUUUUGUUAGGUGAAAGAAAAAUUUCUACCUAUCAAA